rnacentral:rRNA from 1 species
CUACGGGAGGCUCCAGUGGGGAAUAUUGGACAAUGGGGGAAACCCUGAUCCAGCAAUGCCGCGUGUGUGAAGAAGGCCUGCGGGUUGUAAAGCACUUUCGGUUGGGAGGACUGCUUCUAGCACUAAUAUUGUUGGAAGUUGACGUUACCUUCAGAAGAAGCACCGGCUAACUCCGUGCCAGCAGCUGCGGUAAUACUGAGGGUGCAAGCGUUAAUCGGAAUUACUGGGCGUAAAGCGCGCGUAGGCGGCUAGAUCAGUCGGGUGUGAAAGCCCCGGGCUUAACCUGGGAACUGCAUCCGAUACUGUCUAGCUUGAGUACAGGAGAGGAGAGUGGAAUUCCACAUGUAGCGGUGAAAUGCGUAGAUAUGUGGAGGAACACCAAUGGCGAAGGCAACUCUCUGGCCUGAUACUGACGCUGAGGUGCGAAAGCGUGGGGAGCAAACAGGAUUAGAUACCCCUGUAGUC